rnacentral:rRNA from 1 species
AAUAUUAUACCUUCGUUGCUUUGGCAGGCCGUGGAAACACCAGAGGCUCCGGCUGAUGCGUGCCUGCCAGAGGAAACAAACUCUGUUUUUAGUGAUGUCUGAGUACUAUAUAAUAGUUAAAACUUUCAACAACGGAUCUCUUGGUUCUGGCAUCGAUGAAGAACGCAGCGAAAUGCGAUAAGUAAUGUGAAUUGCAGAAUUCAGUGAAUCAUCGAAUCUUUGAACGCACAUUGCGCCCCGUGGUAUUCCGCGGGGCAUGCCUGUUCGAGCGUCAUUUCAACCCAUCACGCUCCGGCGUGGUCUUGGGGCCUGCGGUUUCGCAGCCUCUAAACCCAGUGGCGGUGCUAUUGAGCUCUGAGCGUAGUAAUUUCUCUCGCUAUAGAGUCUCGGUGGUGACUUGCCAACAACCCCCAAUUUUUAUCAGGUUGACCUCGGAUCAGGUAGGGAUACCCGCUGAACUUAAGCAUAUCAAU